rnacentral:other from 1 species
GGAUUCCUGGCAUAUUCGCCAGAUAUUUGUGUCCGCGAGCCGAUAUCAGCAAAUCAGGGGCAAGCUCGCAGCGUCGGUGUGCACGUCCGCUCGACGGAAAGCCUAAAGCACUGCAGUAAGUCCCGCCUUGAACCGUUGGGUUCAAGGGCGCCCUUAUCAGCGG